CUUGUUUCUUUUUGCUCAACAAAUGAAUGAGAGAUAUGAAUCCUUUGAUUCAGAGAGUAGCUUUAGUUUGCAGAGAAUAUUAAGGGAUUUUACUGUUGAUAUUUUCACAUUAAUAUACAUUAUUUAUCUCCACAGGGUGGCGAAAAAGAGAAAAUUGCAAAGACUUACUGGGUGGCAGGAAGUGGGAUUCACUAUAAUCAACAGCAGCAGGAGACUCUUUGAGUCACUCAAAGCCAAUGGCCUGUGACUGAUACCCAAUUAAUAACCCAAGGGCCCAGCACAUGGACAAGGUAAAAGAGCAAAUUUCUCUUUGUAUAUUCUUUUGUACAGUAAAGACAUUACAGUAACUAAAAUGAGCAAAAAUCAGCAUUGCCAGGGAGGCAUGUCUACUUUUUAAGUAACAUAAGACACCAGCACACAUAUCAACUGGCUGCAAUGGACCUGAUUAAUCAUUUUAUAGGCUGCUGUAAAAAAAGAGGGGUAAUGAAUGAUCACAUAUGUGGAACAUAUGCUAUCAGGACACAAAUUAAUGAAAAUGUUUUUGCAGGAGGAAAAAUCUUUGUGAUACAGUGGUAGCAGAUGGUAUUGUGAUGUAGCUCUAUCACAGAGAUGCAGAUUAUUGUUAGAACAGAAAAAUCUUCAUCAGUUUUCAGAGUUUAUUUGCACGUUGGGUGCAUAUGAAAAGCCUAAUGUGUUCCACUCAGUAUGCAAGUGAAGAAGCAACAUUUCUUUUCAAAAAAGACUGACUAUAUAAUUUGGGAGCUAUGCAUAUAUAUCAGAGUGCAGAGUUUUGAUGCAGCCAUUUUUUUCACACCUUGAAAAUCUUUUUCAAACCAUUUUGGAUUGAAUGGAAAUUAUCAGUGUAAAGAUACCUGGUUUUAUUUCUUAUUCCUUUCUACUGACCACUUCCACAAAUGUUACUGAAGUCCCCCGCAAGGAGCAACUAUUACAGUCAUGCAGGGUUAGGAAGGAGAACAUGCAGAACCACUGUUUUUCUCAUGCCCAUUACAUUUCCUUUUAAUUUCUAUUUGUCCAUAUAGCAAAAGGCUCAAAGGUAUUAUGAACAGGAGUAAUCAUCUGAAUAGACAAAUUUUGUGUACAGACUACCUUUCCUGACUUCAGAGACUUUGGCUUUCACAGCACCACAAGACUCAGAACAGAACAAUAUCAAUUCUGUCCAUCCUCUUCUAUCGGAGAAUUUGUCCCUGACGUAUGUUAAGGAGUGGUUUGUUCAUGCCAUUUUCAAAUUACUCACUAAUUUAAACUCCCUAAAAUAAUCAGAUAGAAAUGUUAGAUUUCUAUGAGGUUUCCAAUUUUCCUUCAAAUAUUCUGCUUUACUAUAGAUGGGUGAACCGGAAGAUAUACGAAAGGAAGGAACUACUGAGUUUCCACUCUAAGCAAACACAAUUCAUUUUGAUAAUCCUGAAGAUGUUGUCUCAUCAUUUUGACUCACAGUAGAAUAAUUGAAUUUGGCAGAUAUUUUCUGUGAAAUGCCUUCUCUUUAUUGGUGUUUUUAUGUGUUAGCAAGUGCAAAAGAAAAGGAGGGAAAAGAAGUAAGAUAUAUAAAGUUAUAUUCUCAUUGCAGUAAAAAUGUUUUUUCACUCAGGUACAAUAUUCUAGCAGUGUACCAUGUAGAGCUGUAAAUGAAGAGGUCUCCUCAGCCUAAUAUGAUGUAAAAUCCUCACAGAAGCCAAGUGCUGUAUUUUCUUAUUUUGAUGUAGCUGGUUGACAUCAACUCCAACUGAGAGAUGCAUGAUUGGCCUUGACUGACUAUCUGGAUAUAAAAACUGCCUGUGUCUUGUCUCCACUAGGACCAUACCUAGAAAAAGCUGUCCUAACUUACCUCUUAUAAUGUUAAAAAAAAAAAAAAGUUUCUUUUUUUAAUCUUUGUAUUGAGGACAAAGCCUAAUACAUAUAACAGUACAGCAAGCCGGAACAGUGCUAGGUUGAAGGACAUAAUUUCUCCCUUCUUUGUUUUCUUCAGUCAUUAAACUGGGGCAACAAUUUUUUUCUGUAGUAUGAAUAAUAAAUAGGCUGUUCUACCAGCCCA
ensembl:lncRNA